rnacentral:lncRNA from 1 species
GAGAGGGUGAUGGGGGGGAUACAUGUCAGAGGGUGAGGGGGGGAGGGGGGUCAGGGAUAUGGGAGAGGGGAUGGGGUGACAAGGAUAUGGGGGGGAUACAUGUCAGAGGGGUGAUGGGGAUGGGAGGGGGCUCAGGGAUAUGGGGAAGGGAUGGGGGCGAUAGGGGGGAUACGUGUCAGGAGGGUGCUGAGGAUUGGGAGGGGGGUCAGGGUUUAUGGGGAGAGGGAAUGGGGUGGGGGUUGGGUUGGAUUCAUGUUGGGUUGGAUUCAUGUUGGGUUGGACUCGUUGGGUUGGGUUGGAUUCAUGUUGGGUUGGACUCGCUGGGUUGGACUUGUUGGGUUGGACUCGUUGGGUUGAACUUGUUGGGUUGGGUUGGACUCGUUGGGUUGGACUCGUUGGGUUGGAUUCAUGUUGGGUUGGACUCGUUGGGUUGGACUUGUUGGGUUGGACUCGUUGGGUUGAACUCGUUGGGUUGGACUCAUGCAGUUGGGUUGGGUUGGACUUGUUGGGUUGGACUCAUGCAGUUGGGUUGGGUUGGACUUGUUGGGUUGGACUCAUGCAGUUGGGUUGGGUUGGACUCGUUGGGUUGGACUCAUGCAGUUGGGUUGGGUUGGACUUGUUGGGUUGGGUUAAACUUGGGUUGGGUUGGGUUGGACUCGUUGGGUUGGACUCGUUGGGUUGGACUCGUUGGGUUGGGUUGGACUCAUUGGGUUUGACUCAUGUUGGGUUAGACUUGUUGGGUUGGACUCAUUCAGUUGGGUUGGACUCAUUGGGUUGGACUCAUUGGACAGGGAGGGUUGGAUUUGUUGGGUUGGACUCAUGUUGGGUUGGACUCGUUGGGUUGGACUUGUCCCCCCCAUCACCAACACACCCCAUAUAUCCCCCCAUAUCCCCCUAUCUCUCCCCACAUCCCCCNNNNNNNNNNNNNNNNNNNNNNNNNCAGCCCUUUGGCACCGUAUGGGGCUGUGCUGCCAUGGGGCACAGACGCCUCAUUCCCGACCCUCUUUCACUCCACAGGACCAUCUGCCUCAUCUUCGUCUGCCUCCAGCUGCUGCUCAUUCGCUGGCUCUGCCCUAUUUUAUUCGCCAGCACACACCAGGAGCUGCUCUAUCGGC